AGCAUUUUUAUAUGGUAGAUGAGCUUUUGCUAUGUGUAGUAUCUUUCUUUCAUAAAUGAUUUUUUGGCAACUUGCUGUAUAAUAGAGCAUGAAAAGCAUCUUAGCAUUCUUUAUCAAAAACAAGUUUGGGCAACCUGAUUUUCCAGCAAAGCUGCCCGCAACAAAUGAUUGCAAUAUGAAAUUGAUUGUGGUGCAGGGCAUCAAGUUUUGUCUGCUUUCAUAGAGAUUGUGUUUGAUAAUUCUGACAAUCGCAUCCCGGAUGUGUUGUCUUUAAUUACUACCUCUUGGAUUUUUUAACUUAAUCAAUCUUGGUGGGUCGCUUAAACUUGACUACUACCAUGCCAAGCCCUCACUCGCCUGGCUUCCUAAAUUGGUAGGGUUAGAAGUCUUUAUUUCCACUUGUUUAGUGUCCACAUCAACCAACCAGGACCAUCUUCACUGUUGAUUACCACCUUAAAUAACAAUAUGUUGACUUGACUAUCUUUGUGAUAGUAAAUGUUUGCUACACUUUUGUGGGUUAGCUUGUUAUUGAAAUUUAUAUAUUGUUAUGUGUGCAAGUCAUGAGAGAUUUUUGUAACAAAAAAAUUGAUCGAUGCUUCUUUGUUGCUAUUUUAUUUUAAUAUGACUGCAAAUUGCUUUAUUCAAUGUCUCCUGGAUCCAUGUUACCUUUCCUUAUAAGCGAAAUUGUUACAUGUGGCGUGCAUUCAUUUGGUGUUUUCUUCUUGCCCUUUCACUUGUUAAGCAUCCAUGUUGCCUUUCACAACUGGUUAGUUAGGAGGAAUUGCAUCUCCAUAGAACAAUUGGUUUGAAAAAGGAUGAGUAUUUUUUUUGAUGGAAAGCACAACAUGUUCAUCUGUGUUCUUUAUGCACUCUAUUUCGUGGCCUUUUCCUUUGUUUCUGGAAGAUCAAUGAUUGGAAGUAAUAAUUUUUAGUAAAACUGAAAUUAUGAAUUUACUGGAAAGUGGUGGGUUCUCUUGCUCUAAUCUAUACUAUGUAGAGCAGCAAGGGAAGGAUCAAUAGAAAACAAAUAAUUAAGUAGUUCAGUACUUGGAUGAGAGGCUGAAGGAACAGUAUGAAAGAAAAGGGAGUUGAGAAAAUAUCAGCUUGACAAGCAACGAAAAUCUCUAGAAUAUACUAUUUAUGAUAAGGAACUCUAAUAAGCUCGAUAAAAAUUAUUGCAGGUGAAGGGGGCUCAAAGCAAGGUUUUAUGAAAAAUUUGCUAAGAUAUGAUGAGGUGUUGAAUGCCUAUGAGGAAUCCAAAGACUUGGAGAAGGU